AACACACUCCUUCAAUGCACCUUUUUUCUGUUCUGUCUUGCUGGUGCUUCUUUUCACCCUGGUGCUGGAUUCUGCAAUGUGCUGACAGCUUAUGUUCAUCAACUUUAGAGGUUGCACAGUCGAAGGUGCUUGACUCAUUGGUGUGUAGGAGUAAUAUCCCUGCAUUGUAGUCCAGUUGUUCUGAUGUCAAUGACCAGGCUGUUAUGUACCAUUAGAACUUUGUUGCUGUGUGAACAUG